UUGAGUCUUAUAUUCAUAUAAAAUGAUAUUAGAAUGCAAUUCUAAAGGUGUAUUUAAGUGCUAAGACUUAA
rnacentral:tRNA from 1 species